GCCAGUGGUGAACUCCACAUACGCAUCCUUUGCUGAGGAUACGGUUAACGGAGCGAAAGCGACGUUCAACCUCAAAAGAAGCAGAGGGGGCUUAGUGGUGGGGUGACUGCGUACCUUUUGUAUAAUGGGUCAGCGACUUAUAUUCUGUAGCAAGGUUAACCGAAUAGGGGAGCCGCAGGGAAACCGAGUCUUAACUGGGCGUUAAGUUGCAGGGUAUAGACCCGAAACCCGGUGAUCUAGCCAUGGGCAGGUUGAAGGUUGGGUAACACUAACUGGAGGACCGAACCGACUAAUGUUGAAAAAUUAGCGGAUGACCUGUGGCUGGGGGUGAAAGGCCAAUCAAACCGGGAGAUAGCUGGUUCUCCCCGAAAGCUAUUUAGGUAGCGCCUCGUGAAUUCAUCUUCGGGGGUAGAGCACUGUUUCGGCUAGGGGGUCAUCCCGACUUACCAACCCGAUGCAAACUGCGAAUACCGGAGAAUGUUAUCACGGGAGACACACGGCGGGUGCUAACGUCCGUCGUGAAGAGGGAAACAACCCAGACCGCCAGCUAAGGUCCCAAAGUCAUGGUUAAGUGGGAAACGAUGUGGGAAGGCCCAGACAGCCAGGAUGUUGGCUUAGAAGCAGCCAUCAUUUAAAGAAAGCGUAAUAGCUCACUGGUCGAGUCGGCCUGCGCGGAAGAUGUAACGGGGCUAAACCAUGCACCGAAGCUGCGGCAGCGAACGUAUCACUUAAAGCGAUUCAGCGGGUUACGAUUGACGGAGCGAAGCGACGUCAAAGCGUAUAGAAAGUCGAGUCGGUUUAAGGAUACGUUCGUUGGGUAGGGGAGCGUUCUGUAAGCCUGUGAAGGUGUGUCGUGAGGCAUGCUGGAGGUAUCAGAAGUGCGAAUGCUGACAUAAGUAACGAUAAUGCGGGUGAAAAACCCGCUCGCCGGAAGACCAAGGGUUCCUGUCCAACGUUAAUCGGGGCAGGGUGAGUCGACCCCUAAGGCGAGGCCGAAAGGCGUAGUCGAUGGGAAACAGGUUAAUAUUCCUGUACUCGGUGUUACUGCGAAGGGGGGACGGAGAAGGCUAUGUUGGCCGGGCGACGGUUGUCCCGGUUUAAGCGUGUAGGUGUGUGGACCAGGCAAAUCCGGUUCACUUUAACACUGAGGCGUGAUGACGAGGCACUACGGUGCUGAAGCAACAAAUGCCCUGCUUCCAGGAAAAGCCUCUAAGCAUCAGGUAACAUCAAAUCGUACCCCAAACCGACACAGGUGGUCAGGUAGAGAAUACCAAGGCGCUUGAGAGAACUCGGGUGAAGGAACUAGGCAAAAUGGUGCCGUAACUUCGGGAGAAGGCACGCUGAUGGUAGGUGAAGUGAUUUACUCAUGGAGCUGAAAUCAGUCGAAGAUACCAGCUGGCUGCAACUGUUUAUUAAAAACACAGCACUGUGCAAACACGAAAGUGGACGUAUACGGUGUGACGCCUGCCCGGU
rnacentral:rRNA from 1 species